CAUUGAGAAAACAAUUAAAAAGAUUUUAUAAAACAGCCUUAACUAACUGGAGAAGAACUGCAGUUUGCUCACAGAGAUGAUUGCUAACAAGCCAACAGAAAGCAGUACACUGCUCCAGGACUAUUCAACCGCCCUUCUUUCGUAUGUCACUGACAUUCAUUGUUGGGUUGUUCAUUGAGCAGCCUGAUGAGCAACAAGACUGUACAGAACCGGGAAGAUUGUAAGUUCAACCACCAGCCUGAGCUCAACUAGCUGAUCUCAACAGAAAUUGAUCUCAAUGACAGGGAGGAGCUCUCCUGUGCUUUGCGGGAUCUUGAGGAUUCCUUCACUUCACCUGGGAUUAAAUAAAGGUUAAUCCUGCAGUAUCCAGUCCAAUGAAGAAUGACCAGUCCUGCAGGUAGAGAAAUCAUCACCCGAUAGCACACAACCCCUUAUCCACAACAUAAGCAAGAGCACAUUCCUCUCCCCUUUCGGUGGAUGAAUGCCUUGUGUAAACAUUUAAUUAAAGUACUCAAACUGUGAAGAGACUUUCUUACAUUCAAUGCCUCUGUUGA